rnacentral:rRNA from 1 species
AGGGUGCAGGGCGGAUGCCUUGGCACUAGGAGCCGAUGAAGGACGUGAUAAGCUGCGAUAAGCUUCGGGGAGUUGCACGUAAACUUUGAUCCGAAGAUUUCCGAAUGAGGAAACUCACUUAGAGUAAUGUCUAAGUAUCAUUAAGUGAAUACAUAGCUUAAUGAGGGGAACUCAGGGAACUGAAACAUCUAAGUACCUGAAGGAAGAGAAAGAAAUUCGAUUCCGUAAGUAGCGGCGAGCGAACGCGGAUUAGCCCAAACCAAUAAAGUUUUCUUUAUUGGGGUUGCGGACAUAUCAUAACGAAGAGGUAUCGUAAUUGAAGAGGUUUGGAAAGACCCACCACAGAAGGUAAUAGUCCUGUAUGUUAAACGAGAAGACUUUAGAUAUGAUCCAGAGUACCACGGGACACGUGAAACCCUGUGGGAAGCAGGAGGGACCACCCUCCAAGGCUAAAUACUACCUAGUGACCGAUAGCGUAUAGUACCGUGAGGGAAAGGUGAAAAGAACCCCGGGAGGGGAGUGAAAUAGAACCUGAAACCCUGCACUUACAAGCUGUGGAAGCACAUUUCUUGUGUGACCGCGUACUUUUUGUAGAACGGGCCAACGAGUUACGUUAAGUAGCAAGGUUAAGCACUUAAGGUGCGGAGCCGUAGCGAAAGCGAGUUUUAACUGAGCGUUCAGUUACUUGACGUAGACCCGAAACCGGGCGACCUACCCAUGAGCAGGAUGAAGCGAAAGUAAAAUUUCGUGGAGGUCCGAACCCACGAGCGUUGAAAAGCUCGGGGAUGACUUGUGGGUAGCGGUGAAAUUCCAAUCGAGCCCGGAGAUAGCUGGUUCUCCCCGAAAUAGCUUUAGGGCUAGCCUCAAGGUGAGAGAUACGGAGGUAGAGCACUGAAUGUCCUAGGGGGUAUUGCACCUACCGAAGACUAUCAAACUCCGAAUGCCGUCAUCUUAUACUUGGGAGUCAGACUGUGGGUGAUAAGAUUCAUAGUCGAAAGGGCAACAGCCCAGAUCGUCAGCUAAGGUCCCUAAAUGUAAGUUAAGUGGUAAAGGAUGUGGGAUUGCACAGACAACCAGGAUGUUGGCUUAGAAGCAGCCACUCAUUCAAAGAGUGCGUAAUAGCUCACUGGUCGAGUGAUCCUGCGCCGAAGAUUUCCGGGGCUAAAACUUACUACCGAAGCUACGGCAUCAGUAAUGAUGGGUAGGGGAGCUUCCCAUACGGGUUGAAGCAUGACCGUAAGGACAUGUGGACAGUAUGGGAGUGAGAAUGUUGGCAUGAGUAGCGAGAUGUGGGUGAGAAUCCCACAGGCCGUAAACCCAAGGUUUCCAGGGGAAGGUUCGUCCGCCCUGGGUUAGUCGGGACCUAAGCUGAGGCCGAAAGGCGUAGGUGAUGGACAACAGGUUGAUAUUCCUGUACUACCGAUAACCGUUUGAGAGAAGGGAUGACACAGUAGGAUAAGCUAAGCACACUGUUGGUUAUGUGUGCCCAAGCAUUGAGGCAGUCAAAGUAGGCAAAUCCGCUUUGAUAAUGCUGGGAUGUGAUGGGGAGCGAAAUUUAGUAGCGAAGUAGCUGAUUUCACACUGUCAAGAAAAGUCUCUAUCGAGGUUAAAGGUACCCGUACCGCAAACCGACACAGGUGGGUGAGGAGAGUAUCCUAAGGCCAGCGAGAGAACUGUUGUUAAGGAACUCGGCAAAAUGACCCCGUAACUUAGGGAUAAGGGGUGCCACCAUCAGGUGGCCGCAGAGAAUAGGCCCAAGCGACUGUUUACCAAAAACAUAGGUUUCUGCUAAGUCGCAAGACGAUGUAUAGGAGCUGACGCCUGCCCGGUGCUGGAAGGUUAAGGGGAUCUGUUAGAGCAAUCGAAGCAGUGAACUUAAGCCCCAGUAAACGGCGGCCGUAACUAUAACGGUCCUAAGGUAGCGAAAUUCCUUGUCGGGUAAGUUCCGACCCGCACGAAAGGCGUAACGAUUUGGGCACUGUCUCAACAACAGACUCGGUGAAAUUGUAAUUCCGGUGAAGAUGCCGGAUACCUGCGACAGGACGGAAAGACCCCAUGGAGCUUUACUGUAGCUUGACAUUGGGUCUUGGUACUACAUGUACAGGAUAGGUGGGAGGCUUUGAAACCAGGACGCCAGUUUUGGCGGAGCCAUCCUUGGGAUACCACCCUUGUAGUACUGGGACUCUAACCAUAGGCCAUGAAUCUGGUCUUGGGACACUGUCAGGUGGGCAGUUUGACUGGGGCGGUCGCCUCCCAAAAGGUAACGGAGGCGCUCAAAGGUUCUCUCAGUACGGUCGGAAAUCGUACGUAGAGUGUAAAGGCAAAAGAGAGCUUGAUUGCAAGACAUACAGGUCGAGCAAGGAUGAA